rnacentral:rRNA from 1 species
UACGGAGGAUCCAAGCGUUAUCCGGAUUUAUUGGGUUUAAAGGGUGCGUAGGCGGAAUUGUAAGUCAGUGGUGAAAGCCUGCAGCUUAACUGCAGAACUGCCAUUGAUACUGCAAAUCUUGAGUACAUUUGAUGUGGGCGGAAUGUGUCAUGUAGCGGUGAAAUGCAUAGAUAUGACACAGAACACCGAUUGCGAAGGCAGCUCACAAAACUGUAACUGACGCUGAGGCACGAAAGCGUGGGGAUCGAACAGG